GUGGGGAAUAUUGGACAAUGGGCGCAAGCCUGAUCCAGCCAUGCCGCGUGAGUGAUGAAGGCCCUAGGGUUGUAAAGCUCUUUCACCGGUGAAGAUAAUGACGGUAACCGGAGAAGAAGCCCCGGCUAACUUCGUGCCAGCAGCCGCGGUAAUACGAAGGGGGCUAGCGUUGUUCGGAAUUACUGGGCGUAAAGCGCACGUAGGCGGACAUUUAAGUCAGGGGUGAAAUCCCGGGGCUCAACCCCGGAACUGCCUUUGAUACUGGGUGUCUGGAGUAUGGAAGAGGUAAGUGGAAUUCAGAGUGUAGAGGUGAAAUUCGUAGAUAUUCGGAGGAACACCAGUGGCGAAGGCGGCUUACUGGUCCAUUACUGACGCUGAGGUGCGAAAGCGUGGGGAGCAAACAGGAUUAGAUACCCUAGUAGUCC
rnacentral:rRNA from 1 species